GAAGACCAAGGGUUCCUGUCCAACGUUAAUCGGGGCAGGGUGAGUCGACCCCUAAGGCGAGGCCGAAAGGCGUAGUCGAUGGGAAACAGGUUAAUAUUCCUGUACUUGGUGUUACUGCGAAGGGGGGGACGGAGAAGGCUAUGUUAGCCGGGCGACGGUUGUCCCGGUUUAAGCAUGUAGGCUGGUUGUCCAGGCAAAUCCGGAUAAUCAAGGCUGAGGUGUGAUGACGAGGCACUACGGUGCUGAAGUAACAAAUGCCCUGCUUCCAGGAAAAGCCUCUAAGCAUCAGGUAACAUCAAAUCGUACCCCAAACCGACACAGGUGGUCAGGUAGAGAAUACCAAGGCGCUUGAGAGAACUC
rnacentral:rRNA from 1 species